rnacentral:rRNA from 1 species
GGUAGAAGGAGCUUGCUCCUUUGAGACCGGCGCACGGGUGCGUAACGCGUAUGCAAUCUACCUUUCACAGAGGGAUAGCCCAGAGAAAUUUGGAUUAAUACCUCAUAGUAUAGCAGUUUCGCAUGAAACCACUAUUAAAGUCACAACGGUGAAAGAUGAGCAUGCGUCCCAUUAGCUAGUUGGUAAGGUAACGGCUUACCAAGGCAACGAUGGGUAGGGGUCCUGAGAGGGAGAUCCCCCACACUGGUACUGAGACACGGACCAGACUCCUACGGGAGGCAGCAGUGAGGAAUAUUGGACAAUGGGCGCAAGCCUGAUCCAGCCAUGCCGCGUGCAGGAUGACGGUCCUAUGGAUUGUAAACUGCUUUUGUACAGGAAGAAACACCUCUACGUGUAGAGACUUGACGGUACUGUAAGAAUAAGGAUCGGCUAACUCCGUGCCAGCAGCCGCGGUAAUACGGAGGAUCCAAGCGUUAUCCGGAAUCAUUGGGUUUAAAGGGUCCGUAGGCGGUUUAGUAAGUCAGUGGUGAAAGCCCAUCGCUCAACGGUGGAACGGCCAUUGAUACUGCUAGACUUGAAUUAUUAGGAAGUAACUAGAAUAUGUAGUGUAGCGGUGAAAUGCUUAGAGAUUACAUGGAAUACCAAUUGCGAAGGCAGGUUACUACUAAUUGAUUGACGCUGAUGGACGAAAGCGUGGGUAGCGAACAGGAUUAGAUACCCUGGUAGUCCACGCCGUAAACGAUGGAUACUAGCUGUUGGGCGCAAGUUCAGUGGCUAAGCGAAAGUGAUAA